GUCGAACGGUAACAGGCCGCAAGGUGCUGACGAGUGGCGAACGGGUGAGUAAUGCAUCGGAACGUGCCCAGUCGUGGGGGAUAACGCAGCGAAAGCUGUGCUAAUACCGCAUACGAUCUAUGGAUGAAAGCGGGGGACCGUAAGGCCUCGCGCGAUUGGAGCGGCCGAUGUCAGAUUAGCUAGUUGGUGGGGUAAAGGCCCACCAAGGCGACGAUCUGUAGCUGGUCUGAGAGGACGACCAGCCACACUGGGACUGAGACACGGCCCAGACUCCUACGGGAGGCAGCAGUGGGGAAUUUUGGACAAUGGGCGCAAGCCUGAUCCAGCAAUGCCGCGUGCAGGAAGAAGGCCUUCGGGUUGUAAACUGCUUUUGUACGGAACGAAACGGUCCGGGUUAAUACCCUGGGCUAAUGACGGUACCGUAAGAAUAAGCACCGGCUAACUACGUGCCAGCAGCCGCGGUAAUACGUAGGGUGCAAGCGUUAAUCGGAAUUACUGGGCGUAAAGCGUGCGCAGGCGGUGAUGUAAGACAGGCGUGAAAUCCCCGGGCUCAACCUGGGAAUUGCGCUUGUGACUGCAUCGCUGGAGUGCGGCAGAGGGGGAUGGAAUUCCGCGUGUAGCAGUGAAAUGCGUAGAUAUGCGGAGGAACACCGAUGGCGAAGGCAAUCCCCUGGGCCUGCACUGACGCUCAUGCACGAAAGCGUGGGGAGCAAACAGGAUUAGAUACCCUGGGUAGUCCACGCCCUAAACGAUGUCAACUGGUUGUUGGGUCUCUUCUGACUCAGUAACGAAGCUAACGCGUGAAGUUGACCGCCUGGGGAGUACGGCCGCAAGGUUGAACUCAAGGAAUUGACGGGGACCCGCACAGCGGUGGAUGAUGUGGUUUAAUUCGAUGCACGCGAAAACCUUACCCACCUUUGACAUGUACGGAAUUUGCAGAGAUGGCUUA
rnacentral:rRNA from 1 species